UGCUCCGGCCGCAUGGCGGCCGCGGGAAUUCGAUUAUGGCUGUCGUCAGCUCGUGUCGUGAGAUGUUGGGUUAAGUCCCGCAACGAGCGCAACCCUCGUGUUUAGUUGCUAACAGUUCGGCUGAGCACUCUAAACAGACUGCCUUCGUAAGGAGGAGGAAGGUGAGGACGACGUCAAGUCAUCAUGGCCCUUAUGGCCAGGGCUACACACGUGCUACAAUGGGUAGGACAAUGAGAUGCAAUACCGUGAGGUCGGAGCAAAUCUAUAAACCUACUCUCAGUUCGGAUUGUUCUCAUGCAACUCGAGAACAUGAAGCUGGAAUCAGCUAGUAAUCGUAGAUCAGCAUUGCU
rnacentral:rRNA from 1 species